rnacentral:rRNA from 1 species
CCUACGGGAGGCUGCAGUAGGGGAUAUUGCACAAUGGGGGAAACCCUGAAGCAGCAACGCCGCGUGAAGGAUGAAGGUUUUCGGAUUGUAAACUCCUUUUGUUAGAGACGAUAAUGACGGUAUCUAACGAAUAAGCACCGGCUAACUCCGUGCCAGCAGCCGCGGUAAUACGGAGGGUGCAAGCGUUACCCGGAAUCACUGGGCGUAAAGAGCGCGUAGGCGGGAGAGCAAGUCAGAUGUGAAAUCCUAUGGCUUAACCAUAGAACUGCAUUUGAAACUGUUAUUCGGGAGUAUGGGAGAGGUAGGUGGAAUUCUUGGUGUAGGGGUAAAAUCCGUAGAGAUCAAGAGGAAUACUCAUUGCGAAGGCGACCUGCUAGACCAUAACUGACGCUGAUGCGCGAAAGCGUGGGUAGCAAACAGGAUUAGAUACCCCUGUAGUC